rnacentral:rRNA from 1 species
GUAGUCUCGCACAGAUGCAUAUCAAUAAGCGGAGGAAAAGAAACUAACAAGGAUUCCCCUAGUAACGGCGAGUGAAGCGGGAAGAGCUCAAAUUUGAAAUCUUAAAGGGUUUCCCUUUACGAAUUGUAGUUUAAAGAAGUGUUUUCUGUUGAGGUUUUGGUAAAAGUUCUUUGGAAUAGGACAUCAUAGAGGGUGAGAAUCCCGUAUUUGACCUUUACUUUCAACUUUGUGAUACACUUUCAAAGAGUCGGAUUGUUUGGGAAUGCAGUCCAAAAUGGGUGGUAAAUUUCAUCUAAAGCUAAAUAUUGGCGAGAGACCGAUAGCGAACAAGUACCGUGAGGGAAAGAUGAAAAGAACUUUGAAAAGAGAGUUAAACAGUACGUGAAAUUGUCAAAAGGGAAGCGUUUGACACCAGUGUUGUUUUUCUGAAAAUCAAUUAAAGAACUGUUUAUGCUAAGCUGUUUAGACUUUAUCAGCUAUCUGUUUAGUUUUGAGCUUUUCUUUAAUGCACUUUUCAGUUAACAAGUCAACAUCAAUUUCUUUUGCUGUAAAAAAGCUUGAGGAAGGUGGCUUGAGAUUCGUCUUAAGUGUUUAUAGCCUCUUGCCUAUGCAGUCGGAGAGAUUGAGGUCUGCAGCGUAGAUCCUUCGGGGCUAAAUGCAUUUGUGCUAAGUUAUAGCAUUUCAUAGACAACUUGUUGACUAUGAUUUGUCUUGUAGCUUACUCGCUUAUGUUAUUUUACCUACGCUUAGGAUGUUGACAGCAGUAUAGACUGUAGUCUCGCACAGAUGCAUAUCAAUAAGCGGAGGAAAAGUACCUACGCUUAGGAUGUUGAAGGUGCAGCACAUCAUACACGCAUGACACACUGCAUAUCAAUAAGCGGAGGAAAAGGCUGCAGGAACUGAACGACCGCUACCUACGCUUAGGAUGUUGACAGCAGUAUAGACUGU